UCCCGAAAUAAUCUGAUUUUUUCUUUUUUUUAAAUUCCUUAAUACUAAUUCCCUUUAAAAAACAUAUUUUUAAAGAUGUUAUUUAUUUAUUUGUGAGAGACACAGAGAGAGGUAGAGACACAGGAGAGGCAGGCUCUCUGCGGGAGCCCGAUGUGGGACUCGAUCCUGGGACUCCAGGACCACACCCUGGGCCGAAGGCAGAGGCCCAACCACUGAGCCACCGAGUCGUCCCAUAAUCUGAUUUUUUAAAAAAGGUUUUACUUAUUCAUGAGAGCCACAGAGAGAGGCAGAGGGAGAAGCAGGCUCCCUCUGGGGAGCCUGAUGUGGAACUCGAUCCCAGGACCCUGGGAUCACUGCCUGAGCUGAAGGCAGAUGCUUAACCACUGAGCCACCCAGGCGCCCCAGGAAAUGAUCUGAUCAAAGGCAUAUUUGGAUAAGGAGCAAUGCAGCCAGAGGUGAGAGGGUUUUGUGGAAGGGAAAAUAGAUUUGGGAUUUCCAGGUGUAGAUGCCUCUGGAUCGCCCCUCCUACCUCCCUUCUCUUCCCUGCAGGAACUUCUCAAGUAGUUUGGGAAAAUGCAGCACUGAAAAUUAUACUUGCCCAGACAAGCCGGCACAGAACUGACUUUGCUGGAACGGGGGACGGGAAAGUGAAUACGUCGGCCAAAACCCAGGCAUUAAAAUUUCAAAAAAAGGUCCUGUGUUCUAUCGGUCGUGUCCAGAAUUCUUGGUCCACCUGGCCAAGGUUGCCAAGCAUGCAAGACCAGAGCCAGGAGAUGCAGACAGUGCUGGUGCAUAGUAAGUGCUCAAUAAACGUUUGGUGAGCGAGAGCGUGCAUGGUGGUUUUUCUUUGCAAAGUCAGACUUCAUGCCCCGAAGAGGAAACCCAUCCAGUGGGUGAGCAACCAGAGCGAGCUUGGGUUCUGACAUUACCCCCCAGUCUCCUUUUUUGGUGUAACGAGGAGUCAUUUUCGUUCCGGG
rnacentral:lncRNA from 12 species